GCUUCAGUGGGUGUGACUUUUGCUACUGCAGUCACUCCUGAACUUCAGACUCCAGUUUCUUCAGCCUUUUAAUAGGGACUCACAGCUGUAAAUCUCCAGGAUUCCUCCAAGUCAUCCCCUCAGUCUGACACUACAUCCUAGAUCCCUGUUGUUUGGGGGUUCCAGCUUCUUGGCUUGAGCACCUGUGGAUCCUCUGGCUCCCGAGUGUGUAGAGGCCAAUGACAAUGAUGGAAGGAUCAAUUUUGAAAUCUUUACAAUGUAUUCCUCUUUUUGUCACCAUAAAAACUUACUAUCUGAAAAAUUAUUCAGGAAAGCACCACUGUAUUGGAAAGGCUUAAAUCAGCUUCCUCAAUGAUGACUCAGGCUUCUAAGAUCAAGACAUGAGUGGUCCAGUUGUUUCCUGGACGCUGGAGCUGGCCCAGAAAGCAGAAAGAGACCUCCCUUUUCUCUGAUGUUUAUAAAGACCUGCUAAGGAAGAAGCAUAAAACCACCUUCAAAGUAUCUGACUCAGAAGUAAAAUGAAAUGAACUAAAGCUGCAAUCCAACCUGAACUCAGCUCAGUUCCUCAUUUGGUUGAAAAAUAGUGCUCCUAAUUUUACCUGUCUGGCA
rnacentral:lncRNA from 1 species